AUGUUAACCGGGUGAAGCUGAAGCCCUGAGAGGUGGUAGCGGCCGAGUCUGUGCGCCCUUGAGUAUCCACGUCUGUCCCUCUCACCUCGAUCCCGAAACCCUGGUGAUCGUCUCCCCUUCGUUCAGAGUGCUUGCUUAGGGCACUCUUCUGCCCCGUGGAAACCGGGAUCCCUCAGGCGGUGUUUCUUCCACCUCGCCCGGUGGAAAAUCGGAAACGAGCCUUUGCUAAUCGAUUGGGCUGCACUUCUUCUUCCAAACGUUCCAAGUGACCAUGAGAAAGCAAAUCAGUAGAAGUUCCUGAACAAAGCAUAAAAGGACCUCUGUUCACCAAGCAGAAAGGACACAGAAUGUCCCCGAGAGGCUCAUGUGUGUGGAUGUUUACCCCACAGUUGGAGGUCUAGAAUCCAAGACCUGGUGCAUGCUAGUCAAGCGCUCUACCACGGAGACCACCUGCAGCCCAGCACAGUCUCAUGAACAGGGAAGAGCUGCUUAGUUGACUCUCGGGAUCAUCAAAAUUAAAAUGCAAUCAGAGAUCAGCACUCAGAAGGGCUAAUCAUGUCUUCAAGAGGACGGGGAAAGGGAAAGAGGCUAAGGAGGCCGGGGAGGAGACCCAUCAUCGAUCGGCAGGAGAUGAAGUGAAGGGGAUACAGCAUGUGUCAGGCAUUCAUGGACAGGGGAAGCGAUGUCAGAGCAGCCGGGGCAGCUGGCUGAGCAUGUCGACCCUGAUCCAGAGCACCACAUCGGCACCAGUGGGGCAUCAUCCACUCAGGAGCCUGGAACUGCAGAUCCCGAGGGAGGGCAAGCCACCUCCAGCUCCGUAGUGAUUUGCCUUGAGAACACCAAGCACAGCUGCAGUCACUGUCCUUUUUUCUUUUAAAUUUC
rnacentral:lncRNA from 1 species